CCGAAACCCUAACACUUUGCAAAUUGCAAUCCCUACAUCUCCCCUAAUUCUAAAUUCUCUCUCUCUCUCGAUGGGUACUGGUAGUUUUCUCCGCCAUCCAAACUCUUGAUAUCUGAUGUUCUUUUAUUUUUUCCACAUCAAAUCCUCCCACUCUUCAUCUUCAUUUUCUCCAACCGUAUUUCAGAAAUCAGUUUCGGACGCAGUCCAUUCAUAAAUCAGCUUCGGACUAUAUUUUACCCAGGCUAAUUUUUUGGGAUUGUUUGAGGUGGGUAGGGGUUUGGGGGAGCUGCUUUGUUGUUACGGGUUGCUAUUUUAUGUCUCUCUUUUAAUAGCAUCUUGUGCUGCUUUUUGGGGGGGUUUUUGGAUCUGUUGUGAUUUCUGCUCCGAUGCUCUUUCGGCGAUUCAGAAAUCCAUAUUUGGACUUUUGUUUCUAUUUAUGUGAUAGUUGUAUUUCAAUGGUUGGUGUUCAUAUUUCAGAUUAUGGAAAUUCUUUAUUUUGGUGAUUUUAUUGCAUUACUAGGUUGUAUGAUUAUCUUUUGGAGUUCAGUAUUCGGGUAUUGUAUAGGAAUGAAGAACAUGUCUAUUUCCGGUAUUCUGUAAUUGUUAAGUCCAUUGGAUCUUAUCUUUUUCUAAGAUUUUGACGGAUAUCGAAGACUCGUCGGGGAUCCGAAAUCCGUUGAAUGACGGGGUCGGUAUGAAAAUCGUGUCCGUUUGGCUUCCACGGACGGGGACGGAAAACCCGGUGGGCGGGGAUCGGAUUCCCCAAACCCGUCCCCGAUCUUCCCCGAUGCCAUCUCCAUUUGAUACUUACGAUCCGAACAAUAUGGUUUAAAUACUCCACCCCUCUGACCGAUACUCUACUAAUAAAAACUAAACCGAAUCAAACUAACCGAUCUGAAAAACAAUAAUGAAACUACACACAAAACACACACACUCACACAUACACACACUGACUAGAGCGGGUCAUCAACACAUCCCGACCCCUAAAGGGGGUGGUCAAUAUCACACACCCAGUAAUGAGAGGGGUGAUAGGUAACAGUGCAAAAUCAGGAAGAAAGGGUCCAUUUGUGAAAUAGAGAACAUUAUGUCAACAAUCGCUUUAUAUGGUUAGUAGACGAGACAUGAGGUGAAUGUCUCGAAAUCCUCAGUCUUCUUUACCAUGAAUACCCUUGAAGAGACUAUGAUGUCCAUUCGGUCAAGAGUAUUGUCCACUCGAAGUAUCUCGGGGUGCCUACGGAUUGAGGAGGCUCUAAGAAGAAACCUUCAGUUAUCUUUUGGAAAGAAUGCACAAACAAGCGCAGUCUCGGAAGGGUGGAAUUUUGCCCCAUGCAGUGAAAGAGGUUCCACUGAAAGCGGUUAUUUAAGCUAUCCCAACUCAUAUCAUGAGUCUCUUCCUUCUACUAACGAACCCAACAAGAUAGAUGCCAUCCUCAGUAAUUUCUUCUGGUCUGGAUCUACUUCGAAGAGAUCUAUUCAUGGGGUAAAAUGAGCCUAGUUAUGCGUCAGUAAGGAUGAAGGUGGGCUUGGCUUCCGUAAUUUUUGAUGUUUCAGUAAGGCCCUAGUGGCCAAGGGUGGAGGCUUCUCUCUUCUCAUGAUGCGACAUGGGCGCAGGUCUUGAAAGGAUUGUACUUCCCUAAAAUUUGGUUUCUCUCGGUGGCAAAGGGUCGGAGACUGUCCUGGAUUUGAGCGAGCCUAUGUGAUACCAGAGAGGUGGUUGUUGGAGGGGAAGUUCAGGUGGUAGGGAAUGUUAAUCGCUCAAUUUUACGAGGAUCCCAGGCUGCCGAAGGUGCCUGGAAUGCAUUCGGUUCCAAAAGGGACGGAGAUGAAGAUGAUCAGUGAGUUUAUAUAUCCAGUUUGUGUGAGUGGAGAUGAUAUUUGGUGAAUGCAAGGUGCAACAGGGAUGAGAUGGCAAUAAUUAGGCAGAUGUGUGUGCCCUAGGCAUAUGUAGAAAUUAUGGGCAUGGAAGCUUGAGAAGAAUGGAAGGUUUUCAGUGAGCUAUGCUUACCACGUGCCAAGAGGUCUAGACCCCAUGUUCAGCUUGAUGGAGCCCACCUUUCUCC
rnacentral:lncRNA from 1 species